CCUACGGGUGGCAGCAGUGGGGGAUAUUGCACAAUGGGCGGAACCCUGAUGCAGCGACGCCGCGUGGGUGAAGGAGCGCUUCGGCGCGUAAAGCCCUUUCUGCAGGGAAGAAGGUGACCGUUCCUGAACAAGAAGCCCCGGCUAACUACGUACCAGCAGCCGCGGUCAUACGUCGGGCGCCAGCGGGAUCCGGAUUUACGGGGGGUAAAGGGGGCGCAGACGGCUAUGCAAGCCAGGAGUGAAAGCCGGGGGGCCAACCGCGGGAGUGCUCUUGGAACUGGAUGGCUGGAGUGCAGGAGGGGCAGGCGGAAUUCCUGGUGUAGCGGUGAAAUGCGUAGAUAUGAGGAGGAACACCGGUGGCGAAGGCGGCCUGCUGGACUGUGACUGACGUUGAGGCGCGAAGGCGUGGGGAGCAAACAGGAUUAGAUACCCGAGUAGUC
rnacentral:rRNA from 1 species